rnacentral:rRNA from 1 species
GACGAACGCUGGCGGCGGGCCUAAUACAUGCAAGUAGGACGCAGUUGCGGACGGGUGAUUAACGCGUAGGUAACUGCCUAUUAGAUGGGGAUAAGUAUUGGACACGAUAGCUAAUACCGCAUCCUAGUCUCUGGAUCUCCGUUGUGUUAGCUAGUAGGUAGGGUAAUGGCCUACCUAGGGCACUGUACAUAGCCGGCUUGGGAGGGUGAUCGGCCACAACGGGACCGAGACACGGCCCCGACCCCUAAGGGAGGAAGCAGUUGGGAAAUUUCGGAAAUGGGGGGAAACCUGACCGAGCAACGCCGCGUGAGUGAAGAAGGUUUUCGGAUCGUAAAGCUCUGUUGUGAAGGAAGCGGUACUUAACCAGAAAGGGACGGCUAACUACGUGCCAGCAGCCGCGGUAAUUC